CUGGCUCGGGAUGAACGCUAGCGACAGGCCUAACACAUGCAAGUCGAGGGGCAGCACAAGGAGCAAUCUGAGGUGGCGACCGGCGCACGGGUGAGUAACACGUAUGCAACCUGCCUGUAAGCGGGGAAUAACCCGUUGAAAGACGGACUAAUACCGCAUAAUACUAAAUUACUGCAUGGUAAUUUAUUUAAACAUUUAUGGCUUACAGAUGGGCAUGCGCAUGAUUAGCUAGUUGGAGAGGUAACGGCUCCCCAAGGCAACGAUCAUUAGGGGUUCUGAGAGGAAGGUCCCCCCACACUGGUACUGAGACACGGACCAGACUCCUACGGGAGGCAGCAGUGAGGAAUAUUGGUCAAUGGACGAGAGUCUGAACCAGCCAAGUCGCGUGCAGGAAGAAUGUCCUAUGGAUUGUAAACUGCUUUUGCAGGGGAAUAAAGUGCAUCACGUGUGAUGUUUUGUAUGUACUCUGCGAAUAAGGAUCGGCUAACUCCGUGCCAGCCGCCGC
rnacentral:rRNA from 1 species